GAUGAAGAACGUAGCGAAAUGCGAUAAUUAAUGUGAAUUGCAGAAUUCAGUGAAUCAUCGAGUCUUUGAACGCACAUUGCGCCCCCUGGUAUUCCGGGGGGCAUGCCUGUUCGAGCGUCAUUUCACCACUCAAGCCUCGCUUGGUAUUGGGCAACGCGGUCCGCCGCGUGCCUCAAAUCGACCGGCUGGGUCUUCUGUCCCCUAAGCGUUGUGGAAACUAUUCGCUAAAGGGUGCUCGGGAGGCUACGCCGUAAAACAAACCCAUUUCUAAGGUUGACCUCGGAUCAGGUAGGGAUACCCGCUGAACUUAAGCAUAUCAAUAAGCGGAGGA
rnacentral:misc_RNA from 1 species